rnacentral:rRNA from 1 species
UACGUAGGGAGCAAGCGUUGUCCGGAAUCAUUGGGCGUAAAGAGCGCGUAGGCGGUCCGGUAAGUCGGUUGUGAAAACUGGGGGCUCAACCCUCAGAGGCCGACCGAUACUGCCGGGCUAGAGUCCGGAAGAGGCGAGUGGAAUUCCUGGUGUAGCGGUGAAAUGCGCAGAUAUCAGGAAGAACACCCGUGGCGAAGGCGGCUCUCUGGGACGGUACUGACGCUGAGACGCGAAAGCGUGGGGAGCGAACAGG